GGAGAGAUGGUUGAGCUGGUUUAAGGCACCGGUCUUGAAAACCGGCGUAGGUGUGAGCCUACCGUGAGUUCGAAUCUCACUCUCUCCGCCA
rnacentral:tRNA from 1 species